rnacentral:rRNA from 1 species
CAGGCUGCAACUCGCCUGCNUGAAGCUGGAAUUGCUAGUAAUCGCGGAUCAGCAAGCCGCGGUGAAUACGUUCCCGGGCCUUGUACANACCGCCCGUCACACCAUGAGAGUCGGGAACACCCGAAGUCCGUAGUCUAACCGCAAGGGGGGCGCGGCCGAAGGUGGGUCCGGUAAUUGGGGUGAAGUCGUAACAAGGUACC